UAGAAAAAGAUAAGAAAGGCUCAAUCUAUU
rnacentral:piRNA from 1 species